UGUAGGUUUCAGAACUCAGGGUGGAUGAUGACACAAUGGCUCUAAACCCUAGAUGAGGAGCCUAAGCAAGGCCCCGAGGAAGGCAUCUCCAGGGAAAGAAAAGGGAAAGAAAAGGGAAAGAAAAGGGAAAGAAAAGGGAAAAGGAGGCGUUCGGGGACUUAAGUUUUGGAUUUGGAUUUGGAUUUUGGAGUAGGAAAUAUGAAUCUGAAACAUGGAACCUAGCAUGGAGUUGAGGCUUGAACACUAAAUAUAAGAAGUGAAUGAAGCCAUAGAGGGAAUGGGGCUUACCUAUAGGGGCUUCAAGGAAUCCCCAUCUUGGGCUGCUGUAAGGAGAGAGUAAAUAAUUUCAGGGAAGGAACUUUCCAUUUUCGCUUUCUACUCUCUUGAGGUAGAUGAUUUUUUUUUUAAUUGAGAGAGCUAUAUAACCUUGUGGUAUUAUAAUUUUGGAUGAGUAUAGCAGAAUGUCUUAGACACUAAAGCACAGAUUACAUAUUUGCAACGUUAUGUCACUUGUAGAACUUGAAGAGUACUAUAACUUGGGUUUUUACUACUAGUUUCUAUUGAUUAUCACAUGCUUUAUCUGUUGCAUUUUAGACCCAUUAGCCUGAGUAACAUAUUCAUGACGAACCUUGUUGCAUUUUUAUUGUAAAGAAUUAUAUCAAGGGCCAGUGAAAUGGCUUGGUGGGUAAUAAACUGCUUGCCAUGUAAGCCUGAUGACCUGAGCUCCAUAUCUGGGAUCCAUGGUGGAUGGAGAGAACUGUUUGUUCCCCAAAGUUUUCUAGACCCCUGAGCACAUGCUCGAGUGCACGCAUGCACAUACAUGUGAUAAUACAUAUGUUGAGGUUCAGUCUGUUGCUGUGGAUUGUAAUGCUAAAUACUGGCCCCCAAGAUCUGGUUGCCUCAGGGUUACACCAGGUCAUGUUAUGUAAUCUUGAUUACAAGAUUAUCAAGUUAUUUCUGAUUGGUCAGUAAAUAUACAUAUUCAUGCUUACAGCCUGUAGCUUGGCAGAAGAGAGGUAGGCAGGGCUUCAGUUCCCAGGCUUGGGGUCUGAGGCAGAGACCACAAGGAAGAAAGAGAAGGUGGAGAGAGGAGAAAAUUCCAUUAGGGUAACUGAAUCAUGAAGGCCAUGAGGGCUGGCCAGUUGGAGUAAGAGUGACGCAGGUAGAACAUGGCUUUAUAACUCAGAGCUACUGACAGGGAAGUAGGUAGGCAAAGCAGGCAUAGAUUGUUGAUAUCUGCCCAGCUCUAGUGCUUUAAAGGCUUAUUAUAAAUAUAAAAGUUUUAUGUCUUUUAUGUGGGAACUAAAUGAUCCAAGGUGGGGAAGAAAUCCUCCUAUUAAUCUUAAUAUUUGCCAUAAUACACAUAUACUUACUAAUGAUAAAUAAGGUAAAUUUUAUAAAGAAUUAUUUUUAAAAACUAAAUUAAAGGCAAGAAUGUAUAUAUCAAUGGUAGGACAUGGAGUUAGCAUUCAUAAGAUUUUGGGUUCAGUCACCAUCACCACUUCCAAAGGUGAAACGUGGGGAUGUGGAAGUAAUUUUAGUAUUAGUGCCAAAUUCAGCCACAUAGGUGUCACUCCCUAGGGGCCAUCCACUUUGUGUUUUGAGUCAGGGUCUGUCACUAGGACCCGUGGCUUGCUGGUUAGGUUAGGCUGGCUGGUUGUCUGGCCCCAGAACCCUUCUGUCUCUGCUCCCCAGCAGUGGGGCUACAGUGAGCACUGCUGUGCUGCUUGCUUUUAUGUCAGUGUGACACAAGCUGCAGUCGUUUUACAAGUGGCACUCUCAGCUGAGAAAAUGCUCCACCUGGUUGGCCUGUCUAUAAGUUUUGGAGCAUUUUCUUAGCUAGUGAUUGAUAUGGGAGGGCUCAGUCCAUUGUGGGUGGUGUCAUCCCUGGGCAGGUGGUCCUGGGGUACAUAAAAAAGCAGGCUGAGCAAGUCUAAAAGCUGCACCCCUCCAUGGCCUCUGCACCAGCUCCUGCUUUCAAGUUCCGGCCUUUACGUUCAUAUCCUGAUUUCCCUGGGUGAUGGGCUAUAAACCAAACUAAAGUAAACCCUUUCCUCCCCAAGUUGAUUUUCGUCAUGAUGUUCAUCACAGUUGUCUUCCUUUGGAAGAUUUGACAGUGCUGUUUUGGGGAGGAUUGUGCAAGGAACUAUGGACUAGAAAAGCUGUUUAAUGCUUAGAGCUUAGUGAGCUGUUAUGUGGGAAGAUGGAGUAGAAGAAUAUUGAGAACAACACAGAUGUUGGAGACUGGCCCAUAAAGUUUCAGAAAGAAGUUUGUGUGUCACUUUAAGAUGCUAUCAGGGCCAUUUGAUAUUUUGAAGCUAGCAACCAUAGAAGUGGACAGUUGAUACUGGUUAGCCGGGGCGAAUCAGCUUUAAUUAAGAAGACCUGCAGCGCUGAGGCAGAACGUUCGGAAAGGGUUUCUACAGCACACAGAUGCUGUAGUCCAGAUAGAAGGCCAUACCUCUCUCUGGCAGCCAACCUUGGUAAUCUCUUAAGAGUCUCCCAGCUGGUACUGGUUUUGAAGUCAUGAAGGGGUCAUGGAAAGCAGCUGAGGUUUUACACAGUGAAUGUGCAACACCAGUUGAUGUUGAAGCCCCAAGAUUGAAAGAGUCAUGGAAAGAAGUUAAGGUUUGUUACCAUGUGGUAAGCCAGUUCCAAAAGAGAGCCCAGGAGAGGUCAUGGUGAAGGUGCAGCCUAGAUGCCAGUACCGUGAGAUGACCACCAAGGACAGCAACAGGUAUGAAAUGGAGCCUGCCUGAGACUAGUAGACACGUGUGCCGUGGCAAGGCCUUUGGAGCCAAGACAAUUGUGAUUGGCAGAGGCUGGCACUGAGCUUUACACUGUGGACUUUAGUUCUGCUUUGAUCUGGUUGUGACUGUGCCUGGCUCUUUCCUCUUGGAAUAAUAAAGUAUUUUGCUUAUUUUUUAAUUUGCAGGAGUCCACAGCUAAAAAAAUUAAAGACUUCGAACUUCUAGAGAGACUUUAGAGUGUCAAGACGGAUUUUGGACAUUUUAGAGACUUGGGAUAUUUUAUAUCUUUAAUUAUAGGCACUAAACUCUGAUACACCCUAUUUUAUAGAAAUUAUACCACUAGAUUUAACAUCAAUCUGUUAAUAGUAGAUGAUUUCAGUACCCUGUUUUCUGUAAUAGAUCAAGCUGAAUAAAAUAAACAUGAGAAUUAAUUGACAUCACACAUCAAAUGGACUUAACAGAGGUCUACAUAAUAUUCCACCAGAACACCAAAGAACACAGUUCUGAGAACACACAGAGCUUUUCUAAAGCAGGCCACACCUUGAGACACAAAACCAGUCUUUACAAGUUCAAAAAGAUUGCAAUCACUCCAGUUAUUCUGACCACAAUGCAGUAAAACUUAAAAUACACAGCAGUCAAAUCUCUGGUAAAUACAGAAACUCUUUGUAUUUGAGAAUAAGUAACUCAUUACUGAAUGAUGAAUGGGUCAAAGAAGAAAUCAAGAAAGAAAUAUAUAGUUCUAAGUGCCAACAUUUUUUUAAAAAAUCAGAAAAAGCACUAAUUGAUGACUUAAUGUGGCAACUCAGAAAUUAGGAAAAAUGAAAACAAACUAAAUCUAGACCCAGUUGGUAGCAAGAAAUAAAUGAAAUAUAAACAAAAAAAUACG
rnacentral:lncRNA from 1 species